ACGUGUUGUACCCAAAACGCUCUAAUGCAGACGAUAUGUUUGUUUUUCAUUCUGUGUUGCUGCUGUGGUGGUGGUUAGAAAUGAUGUGCAGUGCUCACAACUCGACAACAAAACACAAAGGAAUGCAAAAGCAAUUGAAAAAUUACAUGAGUUUUCCACAGUGCUUAUGGUAUCUCUAACAACUAACCCAAUUUCAUGGUGGAUAAUGGAGAAACCAAAUUAAAAUGCUCUGACCUACUGGAAUGCACGUGAAAAAUCUGCCACCAACGAAUGAACCACAAUAAAAAAAAACUGCAGUGUAAAUAGAUUUUUUCUCAUUGUAUGAAUGUGAAAAACUAAACACACGAAGAUCAAAUAUACAAUUUUAGAAAUAAAAUACAAAGAAAACUUUUAAAAGAACCCACAUAAAAGUACCAAAUAAAUAAUGGGCACGUAUUGCUGCUUAUAAUAGCGGGCGCGUGCUAAAGUAUUUUUGAGGAAUUUCUAUUAAAUGUUGAAGCAUGAUUUAUGAAAUCAAAAGAUUUACACCUACUGAAUUUGUGUAAUUAGGCCAUAAUUUUAUAAAUCUGAAAUCUAGAACAUAACUUGCACAGAAUUAGAAGAAAAAAACUAGAACAGAACUAGAA